rnacentral:lncRNA from 1 species
UCUUUACAAGAAUAUUCUCUACACCCUCAAACGCUCAACUAAGCUGAAUCAGCUCUACUUGGGAAAACUGUAUGCAUUGCCCUUCUGGUGAGAAGUGUUUAUUUUCGGACGACUCUGAAAAGGUUUUCAUGUUUUCUAACCAAUACUAUGAACAGUUGGUUAUGUCUGAUUUAUCCAAAGAAUUGAGUGUUGAUUAUUUCUUUUCAGAUUUUGGCUGAUAACCUUAUUGAGCAUAUGCCCGUGAACCUGGGAUUGCUUCAGUCUUUGAAAAUUGCAACACUUGACAGGAAUCAAAUUACAAUCUUGCCUGAUGAAUGUAAUUCCCCGGGAUUCUAGAUCGAAAAUUGCAACACUUGAUGGGAAUCAAAUUACAACCUUGCCUGAUGAAUGUAAUUCCCCGGGAUUCUAGAUCAUAUGAGAAGUUUAGUAGAUGUCUUUCUGCUAUAUAUAUUUACACUCUCUGUUC